UCAACUAAGUAAUUCCUGGCUGUUUUCUACAGCGGACCUAGUGAAAAACCAAUGGUGCCUAAGGCGGUGCUGAAGGAAGAAUUCUCAGCAGCAGUUCUCAACAACAGAUCACAGAAACAAGGCUGUCCUCCUCGGGCAUCUCUGGGGAGGUGGAGGUCAAAGGGAUGGAGACGUUCUGUGCCGUUACGGAAAGAGGCAGUCCCUGUACUUGGGGGUCAGAUAGGAAGCAUUCCAGUUUCUCUAGUUUCUUCUUUCCCCUUCCUCUUUAUUCAGUUCCUUGAAGCAUAUGGCAGAUGCCAGCUGGUGGUAAAGGAAUGACAGUUUUCCAGGCCAGAGCAAGCAAGACAUGAAGUCAGAGGGCUUCUGCCAUCCUGCCUGCCUAGACGAGCUGAUCUGAGUACAAUCACAGAGGAGCACUGGAAGAUACCACAGCCCAGGUAGCCAGCCUGGGAAAUGGUUUCUCAUACUGCAAAGAAGUCAUCUGACCCAGAAAUACUAAGAACCAAGUGAAUUCCAAAUUGCACACACGAGAAGAAAGUAAGAGGUCGCCAACCAAGUCAUUUCCCUGUCCCCAAACCUCCUGAGCCUUCUCCUUGCCCCCUUCCCACCUCUUCCCUACCACUUACCUCUCUCCCUCCUCCCACUGCACACUCACCAUCCCCACUGUGCCUCUGCUCAGGUUAUGCUGUCAAAGUCAAAUGCUAUCCACCCUCCCUGCCCACCUUAAUUGCCCCCACUGGAACCCUGCAGCAGUUUAUGCUACAGACUGGGCUUUCAAUCACCUGAUUCCACACUGCCUUAUAAUUGGCAUUAGUGGCACCUGUGACAGCAAAUCAAGGUCCUCCCAAAUAAAAAGUAUCUUUUUCCUACAGUUUCCACAAGGCUAGGCACAAAAUUGGUGCUUAAAAAGACUGAUUGACCAACUAACAUUUGACUUGGAAAUAUAAAUAAAGCCCAGGCAUGGUGGCUCAUGCCUGUAAUCCCAACACGUUGGGAGGCUGAGGUGGGAGGAUCACUUGGGCCCAGGAGUUUAAGACCAGGCUGGGCAACACAGCAAGAUCCUGUCUCUGUUAAAAAAGAAGAAAGGAAAUGUAAAUAAAAUAGUCCCAUGCAUCAGCAACAGCCGCCACAGCUGAACUGUCACACUUUUGCACCAUCUUCUGAAUUCAGCAUCGUCUUCCUUAGACUGUGGGAUGCAAAUCGUGGUUUUCUUAUGCCAAAACAACUUCCGUGCCUGUCUUGUACUCUGAAGACAGUAAUUAUUAGCCUCGAAGUUUUCUGUUGGCAUGAGCACUACGAUCCCCCAAGGAGUGGAAUGCAGUAGCUACAGUUUCAACUGACACACAUCUGACUCUAUCCCCCAAGCCCCAAAUGUGCAAUAAAGAAAGUAAAAAUUAGUUGCUGUCCACUUGGCUUCCAGGAACAGGGUGAAAACUUCAGAUCUUAUGGCCUGCCACACUGGAAGGCCUACUCUGAUUUGAAAGAAGCUGGCUGGGCACGGUGGCUCACGCCUGUAAUCCCAGCACUUUGGGAGGCUGAGGCGGG
rnacentral:lncRNA from 10 species